GACGAACGCUGGCGGCGUGCCUAAUACAUGCAAGUCGAGCGGAACCUUUGGAGCUUGCUCCAUUGGUUUAGCGGCGGACGGGUGAGUAACACGUGGGCAACCUGCCCUGCAGAUCGGGAUAACUCCGGGAAACCGGUGCUAAUACCGAAUAGUUUGCGGCCUCUCAUGAGGCUGCACGGAAAGACGGUUUCGGCUGUCACUGCAGGAUGGGCCCGCGGCGCAUUAGCUAGUUGGUGAGGUAACGGCUCACCAAGGCCACGAUGCGUAGCCGACCUGAGAGGGUGAUCGGCCACACUGGGACUGAGACACGGCCCAGACUCCUACGGGAGGCAGCAGUAGGGAAUCUUCCGCAAUGGACGAAAGUCUGACGGAGCAACGCCGCGUGAGUGAAGAAGGUUUUCGGAUCGUAAAACUCUGUUGUGAGGGAAGAACAAGUACCAAGUAACUACUGGUACCUUGACGGUACCU
rnacentral:rRNA from 1 species